rnacentral:rRNA from 1 species
CUCGUAGGCGGUUUGUCGCGUCGGGAGUGAAAACUCAGGGCUUAACCCUGAGCCUGCUUCCGAUACGGGCAGACUAGAGGUAUGCAGGGGAGAACGGAAUUCCUGGUGUAGCGGUGAAAUGCGCAGAUAUCAGGAGGAACACCGGUGGCGAAGGCGGUUCUCUGGGCAUUACCUGACGCUGAGGAGCGAAAGUGUGGGGAGCGAACG